GUGAGUCAUCGAAUCUUUGAACGCACCUUGCACCCUUUGGUAUUCCGAAGGGUACACCCGUUUGAGUGUCAUUGUAACCUCACACCACGAGUUUUUUCUCGUGGAGGUGGACUUGGAUGCUGUCGUGUAAUGGCGACUCGUCCGAAAUGCAUUAGCGUAUCCCACAGUGUUGCGUAGUCGGUGUGAUAAUAUCUUCACCGCAGUCGAAAGGCGCGCUCUGCCGUUGGGCCAUGUGCUUUCCAACCGUCUCCGGACAAGCUUUGACAAUUUGACCUCAAAUCGGGUGGGACUACCCGCUGA
rnacentral:misc_RNA from 1 species